GUUCCACUUGGUGAUCGCAACGCUCGUGAACAUUAUCUAUCUUUCUUUAACUUUCGAUGAAAAACAAAGAUAAAAUGAUUCCACAAGCGUUGCGAUCGCCAAGUGGAACGUACCUUUAAUAUGCCUUCGUCAACAAGACGUCAACAAGACGAACUCAUUAUCGUGGUGUCGUGCGGACAAUAUAGACACAAAAUUCCAAAUUGACAAGAGAAAGUGAUAUUGUAAAGUUAUUAAUUUUUAUAUCGAAUCAGAGUUGCUAUAUAUAAAUUUCAAACAACACUACAACACAACAAUUUCAAACAACACUAAACGGAAUUGAAUUUAAACAAUUAUAAUAUUAUCUUGUUUUAAAACAGAGUUAAUAAGAAAUAAUCAUUAUGAUGCGAAUAGCAUACAUCAUCUUUUUCAUAAUUUUAAUCUCAGAUGUUGCAACGGAACUUAUUUCAAAAAUCGAAAAAAUUACAGAAAAUCAAACAAAAGUUCAAAACGAGAUUAAAAAUUGUAUAGAUAUACAAAAUACAUGUAUCAAUGUAACAGCUACAUGUGCAAAUACACUAAAUAUAUAUGCAUUAACAUUAACAGAAAAAGAUUUUGUUUUAAAAGCAUGUAAUAUUCUCGUGAUUAUAUUAGGUAUUAUAUUAAUAUAUCAAUAUUUCCGAAUUAGAUAUUUACAACAGAAGUUAGACAGAUUAAAUCCUUUAAUAAAGCUUGAUUAUUCACCUCAUGUACAUGUUCAAUAAAACAGCCAUUAUGCAUAGAUGUAUUAAAUGUGUAUAAUAUGGAGCGUAAAAUCUAUUCAAUCAUCUUGGACAAACAUGAAAACAAUUAAUAUUUCAUUAAAAUAGCUUCACUAUUUUAUUAAAUUGACGCAAUAUUUCACUUAUUUAUGAUAUUCCUUUCUGCAAUGCGCAACUUAUUGAAAACAUAACAUUUUUUUUUUUUGGUAAAUUUACGACAAAAUAAUGAUAAAAAAAAACUCAUUAUGAUAAAUGUUACAAAGAGACCACUUAUAUAUAGCAUCACCUAUAUGAUAUUAUGAUAAAAUGUUAAAAUAAUGUUCUGACAAUUUUAGUCACUUAUGACUACAUAUUUUUGAGAAAACAAUGCCAAAAUUAAUUAAUGUCUGUCACUAACUAAUUUAUAUUUUGUUUUAAUGUUAAUUGUAACUUUAAAAUUUUUAUUUAUUUUAAUUAAAUUAUUAUCCGACAACAAUAAUCUU